GAUGAACGCUGGCGGCGUGCCUAAUACAUGCAAGUCGAGCGAACAGACGAGGAGCUUGCUCCUCUGACGUUAGCGGCGGACGGGUGAGUAACACGUGGAUAACCUACCUAUAAGACUGGGAUAACUUCGGGAAACCGGAGCUAAUACCGGAUAACAUGUUGAACCGCAUGGUUUAACAGUGAAAGACGGUCUUGCUGUCACUUAUAGAUGGAUCCGCGCCGCAUUAGCUAGUUGGUAAGGUAACGGCUUACCAAGGCAACGAGGCGUAGCCGACCUGUGAGGGUGAUCGGCCACACUGGAACUGAGACACGGUCCAGACGCCUACGGGAGGCAGCAGUAGGGAAUCUUCCGCAAUGGGCGAAAGCCUGACGGAGCAACGCCGCGUGAGUGAAGAAGGUCUUCGGAUCGUAAAACUCUGUUAUUAGGGAAGAACAAAUGUGUAAGUAACUAUGCACGUCUUGACGGUACCUAAUCAGAAAGCCACGGCUAACUACGUG
rnacentral:rRNA from 1 species